rnacentral:piRNA from 1 species
AUGGCCCUCGAAGUAGUGUAGAUU